rnacentral:rRNA from 1 species
UACGUAGGGGGCAAGCGUUGUCCGGAAUCAUUGGGCGUAAAGAGCGUGUAGGCGGCCCGAUAAGUCCGCUGUGAAAUCUCGAGGCUCAACUUCGAGCUGUCGGUGGAAACUGUCUGGCUAGAGUCCGGAAGAGGAGAAUGGAAUUCCUGGUGUAGCGGUGAAAUGCGCAGAUAUCAGGAAGAACACCCGUGGCGAAGGCGGUUCGCUGGGACGGUACUGACGCUGAGACGCGAAAGCGUGGGGAGCGAACAGG